UAGACAUGUUCUUGAGUACAAGAUGCUUC
rnacentral:sRNA from 1 species